GUUAAGCGACUAAGCGUACACGGUGGAUGCCCUGGCAGUCAGAGGCGAUGAAGGACGUGCUAAUCUGCGAUAAGCGUCGGUAAGGUGAUAUGAACCGUUAUAACCGGCGAUUUCCGAAUGGGGAAACCCAGUGUGUUUCGUCACACUAUCAUUAACUGAAUCCAUAGGUUAAUGAGGCGAACCGGGGGAACUGAAACAUCUAAGUACCCCGAGGAAAAGAAAUCAACCGAGAUUCCCCCAGUAGCGGCGAGCGAACGGGGAGAAGCCCAGAGCCUGAAUCAGUGUGUGUGUUAGUGGAAGCGUCUGGAAAGGCGCGCGAUACAGGGUGACAGCCCCGUACACAAAAAUGCACAUAUUGUGAGCUCGAUGAGUAGGGCGGGACACGUGGUAUCCUGUCUGAAUAUGGGGGGACCAUCCUCCAAGGCUAAAUACUCCUGACUGACCGAUAGUGAACCAGUACCGUGAGGGAAAGGCGAAAAGAACCCCGGCGAGGGGAGUGAAAAAGAACCUGAAACCGUGUACGUACAAGCAGUGGGAGCCUCUUUAUGGGGUGACUGCGUACCUUUUGUAUAAUGGGUCAGCGACUUAUAUUCUGUAGCAAGGUUAACCGAAUAGGGGAGCCGAAGGGAAACCGAGUCUUAACUGGGCGUUAAGUUGCAGGGUAUAGACCCGAAACCCGGUGAUCUAGCCAUGGGCAGGUUGAAGGUUGGGUAACACUAACUGGAGGACCGAACCGACUAAUGUUGAAAAAUUAGCGGAUGACUUGUGGCUGGGGGUGAAAGGCCAAUCAAACCGGGAGAUAGCUGGUUCUCCCCGAAAGCUAUUUAGGUAGCGCCUCGUGAAUUCAUCUCCGGGGGUAGAGCACUGUUUCGGCAAGGGGGUCAUCCCGACUUACCAACCCGAUGCAAACUGCGAAUACCGGAGAAUGUUAUCACGGGAGACACACGGCGGGUGCUAACGUCCGUCGUGAAGAGGGAAACAACCCAGACCGCCAGCUAAGGUCCCAAAGUCAUGGUUAAGUGGGAAACGAUGUGGGAAGGCCCAGACAGCCAGGAUGUUGGCUUAGAAGCAGCCAUCAUUUAAAGAAAGCGUAAUAGCUCACUGGUCGAGUCGGCCUGCGCGGAAGAUGUAACGGGGCUAAACCAUGCACCGAAGCUGCGGCAGCGACGCUUAUGCGUUGUUGGGUAGGGGAGCGUUCUGUAAGCCUGUGAAGGUGUGCUGUGAGGCAUGCUGGAGGUAUCAGAAGUGCGAAUGCUGACAUAAGUAACGAUAAAGCGGGUGAAAAGCCCGCUCGCCGGAAGACCAAGGGUUCCUGUCCAACGUUAAUCGGGGCAGGGUGAGUCGACCCCUAAGGCGAGGCCGAAAGGCGUAGUCGAUGGGAAACAGGUUAAUAUUCCUGUACUUGGUGUUACUGCGAAGGGGGGACGGAGAAGGCUAUGUUGGCCGGGCGACGGUUGUCCCGGUUUAAGCGUGUAGGCUGGUUUUCCAGGCAAAUCCGGAAAAUCAAGGCUGAGGCGUGAUGACGAGGCACUACGGUGCUGAAGCGACAAAUGCCCUGCUUCCAGGAAAAGCCUCUAAGCAUCAGGUAACAUCAAAUCGUACCCCAAACCGACACAGGUGGUCAGGUAGAGAAUACCAAGGCGCUUGAGAGAACUCGGGUGAAGGAACUAGGCAAAAUGGUGCCGUAACUUCGGGAGAAGGCACGCUGAUAUGUAGGUGAAGCGACUUGCUCGUGGAGCUGAAAUCAGUCGAAGAUACCAGCUGGCUGCAACUGUUUAUUAAAAACACAGCACUGUGCAAACACGAAAGUGGACGUAUACGGUGUGACGCCUGCCCGGUGCCGGAAGGUUAAUUGAUGGGGUUAGCGGUAACGCGAAGCUCUUGAUCGAAGCCCCGGUAAACGGCGGCCGUAACUAUAACGGUCCUAAGGUAGCGAAAUUCCUUGUCGGGUAAGUUCCGACCUGCACGAAUGGCGUAAUGAUGGCCAGGCUGUCUCCACCCGAGACUCAGUGAAAUUGAACUCGCUGUGAAGAUGCAGUGUACCCGCGGCAAGACGGAAAGACCCCGUGAACCUUUACUAUAGCUUGACACUGAACAUUGAGCCUUGAUGUGUAGGAUAGGUGGGAGGCUUUGAAGUGUGGACGCCAGUCUGCAUGGAGCCGACCUUGAAAUACCACCCUUUAAUGUUUGAUGUUCUAACGUUGGCCCCUUAUCGGGGUUGCGGACAGUGUCUGGUGGGUAGUUUGACUGGGGCGGUCUCCUCCUAAAGAGUAACGGAGGAGCACGAAGGUUGGCUAAUCCUGGUCGGACAUCAGGAGGUUAGUGCAAUGGCAUAAGCCAGCUUGACUGCGAGCGUGACGGCGCGAGCAGGUGCGAAAGCAGGUCAUAGUGAUCCGGUGGUUCUGAAUGGAAGGGCCAUCGCUCAACGGAUAAAAGGUACUCCGGGGAUAACAGGCUGAUACCGCCCAAGAGUUCAUAUCGACGGCGGUGUUUGGCACCUCGAUGUCGGCUCAUCACAUCCUGGGGCUGAAGUAGGUCCCAAGGGUAUGGCUGUUCGCCAUUUAAAGUGGUACGCGAGCUGGGUUUAGAACGUCGUGAGACAGUUCGGUCCCUAUCUGCCGUGGGCGCUGGAGAACUGAGGGGGGCUGCUCCUAGUACGAGAGGACCGGAGUGGACGCAUCACUGGUGUUCGGGUUGUCAUGCCAAUGGCACUGCCCGGUAGCUAAAUGCGGAAGAGAUAAGUGCUGAAAGCAUCUAAGCACGAAACUUGCCCCGAGAUGAGUUCUCCCUGACCCUUUAAGGGUCCUGAAGGAACGUUGAAGACGACGACGUUGAUAGGCCGGGUGUGUAAGCGCAGCGAUGCGUUGAGCUAACCGGUACUAAUGAACCGUGAGGCUUAACC
rnacentral:rRNA from 1 species